CAGCUUGGGUUACCGCUUGUGCCACAUAAAAUCAGGAACAAGUAACUUUUGCUAUAAAAUUAGACCACCUUCUCUAAAAGAAGGAAAUGGAUACAAGGAAGCAGGAUCAUCAUGUUCUGAGUGUUCAGGAAAAACCUGAUCCCCGAUAAAACUGACAGCAGGGUUCCGGAGAUUUGAAGAUCCUCUUGCUCAGGACAGCUGAAGCCCUGCUGUGCAAAAUGUCUUUACCUUGAUUUGUGUAUUCAUUCUGUGGCAUAUUCCAGGCCACCUCUUCUACAAGGGUCAGGGUGAAAGGCCAUGGUUUGAAGAAACAUGGAAGUGAUCCCAGUGUUGUUUAUCCAUGGAGCACACUGAUCCAAGAGGAAAUGGGGAGCUCUGUCAUAGCAAAGCUGAGUAACUGAAGCCCCAGAUGUGUCCCCAACGUCACAAAUGCUAUAGUGAAGGAGUCAGGAUUUUAGUACCAGACUCAAACUCCUUAUAAGGUGACAUAUGGCUUUAGCCACAGAGAAACAUAUAUACAGAAGGAUGUCACCCAUCAGAAGCCUGCUCUAAUACUUUCUUCCUGGGAGAGAUUACACAUCACUUCUAUUCAUAUCUCAUUGGUAAAAGUUGAAAGCACUAUUUCCGGUACUGAGUGAUAGUUGGAGCACUCUGAGUCAUUUGUGAUUGAUGCCUCAGGAAUCCUUGCCAAUAUUCCCAAUGACUUAAUGUGUAUUUCUGACAAAGAAUUGCCCUGAGAUGUCAGCUUCCAUUUUUCUCAGCAGAGAGAAGCAUAUCUGUGGAAGUUAGGAUGCUCUUCUCAUCUCAACCUCACUAGGAAACUCAAGCACUCUCCUCUACACUCCUCCCAGCACCAUGUGUCCACCCCUGCCAUUUACUCCUGUCAGCUUUCCUAAUUGUGUUUAACGAUGUUUAUGGGUGCAGGAUACACAUAUAUGAUGGACUAUAUCCUC